GGAGACAGUGGGGAUGGAGAGGAUGGAGGCGAUGUGCUGGGGAUGAUGGAAGGGACGCAGAAGGCAUGGUGCAGGGGACAUGAUGGUUGGUGGAGGUUGAUGGCCCUGUCUGUGGCAUGGAGGGUUGGAACUUGAUAAUCCUUAGGGUCCCUUUGAACCCAAGCCAUUCUAUGAUUUUAUGAUUCUAUGGUGGGGAUGGGAUGAUGGAGAGGAUGUGGUGGGGCUGCAGGAGGGGACGUGGUGGAGACAUAGCAGGGAUGGGGUGAUGCAGGGGAUGUGAUGGGGAUGCGGAUGCGGUGGGCAUGGUGCAGGGACACGGUGGGGCUGCACCUCCCACACCCCCAGCACAGCACAGCAGGUGCUGGGGACACACAGUGGCACCUCCCGUCCUCAUCCUCUCCGCUCCGUGGGGCUCCUCUGUGCCGCACACAGCGCUGGUACCCGGAGCAUUACUGUGGUGGCAUCUGGGAGAGCACCCACACAGCCAGCAGGAGAUGCGUGCCCACCCCCCGGGAUCUGCGGGCUCAGCUCCAUCCCCGCAAAGCCCCCGCGGUGGGGGCGGCUCCUUCCCCAUCCUCGCUAAGCCGUAGGAAGUUGGAUAUAUCGAAAAGGCCCCGCCGUGCUGGUGGCUCCUAAUUCCGGCUCUGAUCGGCACCGGCGCUGCGCUGCCCGGCUGCGUGCUGCUCUCACCGCCCCCCCGCAGCACUGACCGCAGAGAUUAGGGCUUUAUUAAGACGUAUGAAGCCGCAUUACGCUCAAUUGAGUGAGGAAACUCGUUUAAUUGGGCUGAACGCUCUUCGGGUCGGUGCCAAAACCAACGGGCAGCGCGUCGCUCUUGCUGAGAUUCGCUCCGGCCGCUGUGGGCGGCACCGGGACAGCCGUGAGCACGUGCACCCUGCACGGCGCUGCCACGUGCACGCGUGCACAGCCACGUGCACCACUUGCACACCCACCCGCAGCACCCGCUCCUGUGCUCCGUGCACGUUCCGAUGCGCGCCCAGCGCGUGUGCGCACACACACGGACGCGGCCCCACGCACGCUCACAGCCCCCUACGCACACGCGCUCCCACACCCGUGCCCGCAGCAGCCGCUGGGUGGCAGCAAGGCCCCGGCGCUGGCACUGCUGGCACCGCGCUACGAGCAGAGGGUUGGUGCGCGCAGGGGUCGUGCGUGGCACCAAAACGCCCCCCAGGAACGCAGGGAGCAGCGGGGCACGCGGAGCUGCUGGGCACAACGCUGGGAUGGGGUGGAAGAAGGGAAGGCGUCACAAAAGGAUGAGACAGAAGUCGGGGUUGGUUGUAGGUCUGAUGUGAUGACGAUGGACUCGCUGCUGUGUCGUGCAGAUGGAAUGAUGCCCUUUGGGUCUCAGCGCCCGGCUGCAGAGCUGGUGCCACAUGGGGACGUGGGGACGGCUCCCUGCUUCCCAAGCCCUCCAGCUUGGUUCCAGCACAGCUUUUAAUUAAAUCUCCAUGAAACACCCAUUUGAGAUGCUUAAUUUCAAGUGAGAACUAAUUAAUUUUAUGGGCCUUGGCUGCGUCUGCCUUGUUUCUAAACUGGUGCCCAGGAUGGGGCUGUCAGAGCGUGGUGCUGACACUCAGGAGCUGCUGGAUGCCUGUGUCUGGGGAUGCUGCAGGUCAGUGUGUGGGACUCCCCUGGACCUCCCCAGCAUUGCUCCCCACCUUGAGAUGCUCAGUUUGGGGUCAGAUAGUUUCAUUGUAAGGCUGGGAUCUCACACCGGUUGCACCCAUGCAGAAGCACUGGGUCCAUUCCACACUCAUGUCCCUACUCCUCAGGUGUUUGCCCCCACACGGACCUUGUUAGCUCAUUCUGGAGCAGAAUGGUGGCCACAUCUUUGCCUUUCAGUCAUAGCAUUUGGAGCUGGGGCAGCUCGGCUGUUCCUUUGGAACCCUGAUGGUGUUGCUCCCUGAAGGGACGCAGACAUGCACAGGGAUGGAGCCACCCCAUGGCUGCUCUUGGUGGGAUAGGAUCCCAAUGGGGGGCACUGCUUUGGUUAGAGCAGCCCCAGGUUCCCUCCUCAUUGCCCAGCAGACCUACAGGCUCCUGCUGCGCUGCUGCCCGUAAAGGGCUCGGUAUUAAACCCUGAUUGAAAACAUGAAUCACCCCUCUAAUUAAACAGAGCUGCUCUGUGCCAGGAAAUCUCUCCCUGUCAGGAUAUUUGUUUUCAAAGGGGAAUAAAUCUCGGGCAGAGCUGAAGAUUGGCUCCCAGACCCUUUAUCGUGGAGCGGCGGUGAUUAAUCCUGUGCACCCUGGCACCAGGGAUGGAAUAAAAUUAAGAAUUAAUACGUAUUUACAAGCUGCAGAAAGGCUGGAAGUGCCCAAACGCCCCCAAGAGCAGUGCUAUCAUGCUGUAACCCAGCUCGCUUCGGCUUGCACCCCAUAGCUGUUAUAGGAUCAGCCCUCCCUGGAUGCUCAGUACCCACAGGGGCACCCACACCCUCUGCAUCCCACAGCAAGCUCUGCUGGCUUUGCUGGAAGGGGGGGGGGAAGUGAGGAAUACUGCAGCGUUCCGAUUAAUUGCAAGUGCGAGGGCUGCGUGCAUGAAUCUUUAAUUAGUCACGUCCCUCAUGAAUAUGCACGGUAUGCAAAUGGCAGAGGGAAGAAGCCGGGAGUGGAGCGGGGGUGUGAAGGCAGAGCUGGAGCCGGCAGUCCCUGUAUGGGGGACCUAUGGGAGCGAGGCUGAAGGAGGCAAUGAGCCUCAGCUCGUCCCACCGAUCCCGGCACUGCUCAGGUUGGAUGGCCUGGCUCUCUCGGAUGCCACUCCUCUCAUUAUUUUUGACAGUCCAUCUCAUUUGUACGCAGUUUCCCAGCGCCGAAUGUCUGCACACCGGGUUCCUUUGCUUUGCGCUCUGCUGUGCGAGCAGUAAUUGCACUGCAGCCCCUAUUGAAGGACCUCCAAACAAGCCCAGAGCGACAGCUUUCCCUGGGGGUUUUGGACAAGUUUCUCCAGGCAUCAUCAUUUGUGUCUGAGGACGUUAUCUCUGCAUCUCCCUCCACCUGUCGGUGCUGACAGGGCACCCUCAGAUCCGGGAGCGGGAGCUGCAGCCUGCUGCUGUCAUUUCCCACCUGUCAUUUGCUGCUCCUCUCAUCCCAGCUAACUACUCCCCACCAUCACGGUGGCUGGGGGCCCCUGUAGGCAGGCAGACCUGCCUUGCUUUGCCCUGCUUAUGUGUUCUAUGGACAGAAGGUGUUAUUUGGUGCCUUGGUGCACAGCACAGCUCCAAAUCCCAUUGCAGCUUGAAGCAGAGAGGAGCUGUGAAAUGCUGUUCUUGCACCUCCUGGAGCAUAGCCCUCCUGCAAGACCAGAGUGAGCAGGGCUUGCUGGCACAUGGGUUCCAUCCUGGAACCACGUAUGGGGCAUGAGGACGGCCCAAUCACCAAGGCAAAGCACACCUGGAGCCCCUGUGCUCCCAGUUAGCUGCUACAGCUGACGUCUGAGAGGUGACUUUGAUCAACAACACCUGCCCGGUGGGUAACCAGGGCAGCCCGAUACAGAGCACAAGUGAGCAGUGUGAGAUGGGAGUUAGUGCUGUCCACCCCUGGGAGCAGAUGCAUCGGUUCUGAGGCCACAGCUCAGCAGGCACAACUUGCUGAGCUCUCAGGAGGGCUCAAUGCAUUUCCAACCUGCUAACGAGGACUUUUUCCCCUGCUGCAAUUAAAAACCCCAUCCUUUUGCAAGCAGCAGCAGAGAAGCAUCACAGCCAUGGGCUGCCUGAGAUGUUCCCUGAGCUCAGACCUCACUCUGCACCCCACGAAAGCAGUGCAGUGCAGAGCCCUUAUCCCAGAGCACCGUGGGGAUUCAUUUCAGGGAUUGAUGCAGCGUGACACAGAGCAACCUUUCCUUUCAUGCUUUAUUUUGCAGAGCAAAAUGCACUGGCAGCGCCAGGAAGGUGUUUCACUGCACCCUGUGACUGCAAGCUUUAGAGCCCCAAAUCGGGGUAUAAGUGUUUAAUUCAAUGAGAUGCUCUAAACCUCCCAUUAUCCCCAUCAGAUGUUAACAGACCCUGGGAUGCACAGCCUGCUUGAUGUGCAGCUCCUGCAGCACCGAGCUGCUGUCAUUUAUGCAUUUCUCAGCUGUUUCCAAACAGAGCGGAUUCUUAUUACCUUUUGGCCACCUGCCCAGAAUUGGUUACAAUUUGGAGAGGGGGGGAGAAUGAAAAGACAGAAAUUCCUCUUUCUGUUCUUCUCCCCUUUGCCACAAAGGGACGGUGCGGAAAAUGAAUGAAGUGCCACCAGCAAAGCAGACGGGGGUGAGCUGCUGGGGAGGCCCUAUGGGACAGCGCCAUCGGUCCCCCCCGAAGGCGGUGGUGCCGCGUGUCCUAUCUGUUAUUUAGCAGCCCUUCCAUGGGGCUGGAGGCAGGCAGGAAACAUGGCAGGGGAUGCGGAGAAGGACAAACCCUAGAGGAGGCCGAGAGGUGCGCAGGACCUCGGAGAAGUCUCCCAGUUCUCUGCGCGGAGGAACGCGGCUCCGGGUGCGCGGAGCGGAAAGCUUCAGGGUCAUGCUGCUCCUCCUAAGCGCAACGCUUUGCUCGCGGAGACUGAAGACACCGGCGUCCUCAUCGCCCAACAUCGGCAUUUCAGGCUUUUCUCUUUUUUUUUUUUUUGCAUUCUUUGUUGUUUCUGGGUGAUGCUUUGAGUCCAUGCUGCUCCAUCUCCAGGCCGAGCGAUGUCACGCAAGACGUUCAAAGCACAGAGCAGAGCUGCAGGGGAACAAUCGAGGCUGGAGGGAGAAGAUGCAGAAGUUGAAGGAUGAUUUCCUACGCGAGCUCUUUGCUUUCUUUUUUUUUGUUUUCAGCCUCCCCGAGGCUUCUCAGCUCACAAAUCUGUGUGCUCUGCUGGCAGCUGCGCUGACCGACGCUGUCACAUCGAUGCUGCGCAUCGCACCGCGGUCUGCUGACAGCAGCUGUCCCGUUCCAGCCUACUUUGGGGACAUCUCCUGCACAGCAGUUGAGUGUGCCGGAUGGGAACAUCGAGCACUGCUGGGAGCAGACGGGGUUUGUCCUCAGGUCUGGGCUAGGCGCAGUGCGGUGGAGUGAAAUGCUUUGACAAAGCUCAGUGAGGAGCACGGGAUGCGUUAAGCAGAAGGAACAGCAGGGAGCACAGCUCUGCUGACACUCUGCCUUUCUCCCCACCUGGAGCUCUCAGGUCUCCCCACACUGAUACUGUGCAGCUUUCCAGCCCCUGUGCCCCACUGUGCCACUAUAUGGGGCCGUUCCUGUAUGCCCCAGCAGCCCCGUGCCUUGAGCAGAGCCUUUCUGUGGGCACCCUUCAUCAAACAGAAGAGGUUUCAAAGCACUUCUCCUCUGUCCAAGGAUGAAAGAGCCUCACUCCCUGUGCUCUCCCCAGCAAUUAAAUGCCAAACCCACUCAUACUUUAGCGAGUUCUCCUCAUUAAAGUGCACAGGGUCCAGUGCUGGGGGCUGGCUAGCAAUGAGAGCAACCCAACACUACCCACAUCACUCACUGAAGGCUCUUGGAAGGGACUUGUUGCCAUUUAUUCUGCCCAUUGCUCCCCAUGGAGACAGAGCAUGGAGCCAUGCCUAAGAAGGUACCAUAGGAAAUUGGCCUAUGGAGCAGGAAGCAGCCAUGGCACCAUCAUA